rnacentral:rRNA from 1 species
CAGUCGCCACGGGAAUACGUAGGUGGCAAGCGUUGUCCGGAAUUAUUGGGCGUAAAGCGCGCGCAGGUGGUUUAAUAAGUCUGAUGUGAAAGCCCACGGCUCAACCGUGGAGGGUCAUUGGAAACUGUUAAACUUGAGUGCGGGAGAGAAAAGUGGAAUUCCUAGUGUAGCGGUGAAAUGCGUAGAGAUUAGGAGGAACACCAGUGGCGAAGGCGGCUUUUUGGCCUGUAACUGACACUGAGGCGCGAAAGCGUGGGGAGCAAACAGGAUUAGAUACCCGUGUAGUCCCUGUCUCUUAUAC